CUAGUUGGAACUCACGAUAGAGAGACUGUAUCACAUAGUAACAACACUUAGGGGUUCAUUCUUCUAUUUUAUUAGGUUGCCACUACAUACUACUAGACAUCAUCGGUGGAUCAUGAGAACUCUCUAGGAUCAUUUUUAGAUCAAUAAUUUUUAUUGAGAUGAGUUGAAAGCGUUCCAGCCCAUCGAAAGGAGUUUCGAUGAUAUCGUGAUGGAGAUCACGAUAUGUCUCACUAUCAGAUAGAAUAGAAUCUGAGGGAU
rnacentral:lncRNA from 1 species